CACUUGUUCUCAAUAAUCUAUUGGUUUGGACUUUCAAGCCCAAAGCCCAACACCUAUGUAUGUUGGCCCAACGUAAAUUUAGGAGACGAAGAUGCCCUCCAUUACAAAAGCCCUUCCGGUCGAACACUGUGGAUACUGGAUACGCAGGUUCAAAUACAAACGGGCUUUCCCUCCUCGCCGAGUCGCUCCUCGGACCUCAGGUCCUCAGUCAAUGGCAGUCGCUCUGAGAAGACUUGCAGCAACUUUCGGCUACUCGCCACAUCCUCAAUGCGUUCAAAGCUUGUUUCCGUUGCGCUUUGGAAAUAGUUAGAGAUCCUCUGCGUCGUCUGUUUCGUCUGGUAUGCCCUGAACGUGCUUGUGAAAAUGUCUCUGAGACAACACCUGUUUUGUCACCAACCAUUUCUGCACCUGCUCUGUAUUUCAAGAUCAGAGGGCGAUGCUCCGACCGUUCAUCCAGAAUUCCAACAAUGGCAUAACGGAGGUGGGUCUUUCCACACGUUUGCCUGCAUCGACCCAACAGUUUUCAUAGAGUUUGGUGCUGUUGUUCAUUCAAAAUCCGUUGUUGGCGAGAGCUGUCAUUGGACCUCACUAUUGGGCAAUCAACCAAAAUUGGGUGACGAUCUAAUUUUUAACUCGACAUUGCCUUGUUAAUGUUUUCACUUAUUUGAUUUUGAUAGAGUAACCAAGUUCGUUCACAGGGGCAGGUUAGACAUAGAGCCUUUGAUAUCUUUUAAACUGAUUUUAGAUGCAUUACUAUAUUUUCUGAGUAAGUUUUACUCAGAUUCUAUUGAAGUUAGAGCAAUAGUUUGUAGCAUUCUUUGGUUUAUGAAGUUGGAGAGAUACAGUUACGAGAUCAUGCAACGAUAGACAACUUAGUUCAGGUUAACUUUUGCCUUCUAAGUUCUUGCAUAAUUUUCCUGGAAUAUAGUAUACAAUUGUCCUUUUGCUCGUUUCCUGUAGAUUGGUCAUAAUGUAGUUGUUGCGAAGAAUUGCAUACUUUGUGGACAAGUUGGGAUUGCAGGCUCAGUGACGCAUGUUCUUUCUCUGUCCCUACUGUAUUUUUCUGAUUUAGAAAGCCCGCCAUAAGAUAUGAUCCACUUUCACUUCAACGACUUGGUCGAUGAUUCAGAAGAUCUGCCAAAUUUGAUGGCUGUCCUGUUUUUAUUCUCAUACAGGAUAGGAGACUAUGUAACUAUGGUAGCAGUUCGUAACAAUGUAAUUUUUUUAAUUUUUCUACUGCUUUUCUAUUUUUUUCGUGUUCUCACAUGUUUUCAUUGAUUACGAAUAUUGCUGAAUAUUUUUUUACAUGGACUUCGCGGCUACGGCUUGCUGCUACUAGCUAUGUAAUGAAGGAUAUCACAGGACCUGGAGAUAAUGGUGGCUUCCCAGCUGUUCAUCUCCAUGAGUGGCGAAGACAACUAGACAAGUUGCAAAUUACUGUCGGACAUACAAAAAGUGGAACCUGAGUUACUGGAUUUCACUGUUAUAAUCUACGUAUUUGUAUUAUUGAGAUUUUAUAUUAUUUUUCGAGAAAUUAUAUUAAUUUAGUUGAAUUUAGAUUUUAA